CAGAACUUCAAGAUCAGUCUUAGCCACUCCAUUGGGUCUAGAUUACUGCCAAUUGAAAUGGGUAUCUAGGGUUUCUGUGAAAGAUCUUGUUUUGAUGUUAGGGUUUGCUCUGUUUGGAGAUCUUGGUUUUCUAGGGUUUAAGUGCAUUGUGAGAGUUGGAGUGGAUUUCUCUUGUUUUGGUAGGCUACAAUGGCUCCAAGCCUGAAUUUCUCCAAUUGGUGGGCGAAGGACACCCGCGACGGCACGCCGGUGGUGGUCACCAUGGAGAACCCUAACUACUCCUUUGUCGAGCUUGAAGGCCCCGGUGGCGCCAAGGGCCGGGGCAAGAAUGCCAAGCAGUUCACUUGGAUUCUUCUCCUCAGAGCCCACCGCGCAGCCGGCUGCGUCGCUUGG
rnacentral:misc_RNA from 1 species